rnacentral:rRNA from 1 species
AUGGAGCAACAUGAAGACCCAGCGGUGCUGCUGCUGCCUGAAGACGUGCUCGCGGACGCCCUCCGCCGACUUCCUCCACAUGGUCUUGCCGCGCCCCGCUGCAUUUGCAAGGCGUGGCGGGGCGUCAUCAACACGCACAGCCUGCUGCAGCUAGACCUCCCACACUCGAUGGACAGCAUCAUCCUAAAUUUGUACGAUCUCAGGUCGUCGCGGUUUCUCUCCCGCCCAUCCAGGGGGCAGCGACCUCAGCCAACCUCGACCAUGCCGUCUCCGGCAAGCUGGGCCACCUCCGCGAUCCAACCAUCUACGUCAGUGAUCAUUGCAACGGCCUUCUUGUAG